rnacentral:tRNA from 1 species
GUAGUGGUAGUGGAGUGGUUAAGCACUUGGCUGCUAACCAAAAGGUCAGAGGUUUGAAUCCACCCGCUAUA